rnacentral:lncRNA from 1 species
AUGUGUGUGCCCUGCUCAAAUGCAGAACAGCCUCCAUGCAGGUGGAAGUUUCAGUCUGGUGAUUUUUUGAUCAUCUGCUAUCUCAGAUCCCUGCAAGACACCACUGUUUAUCAAGAUCAAGUUUUGCUACCAUCUCUUUCUGAUUCUCACUGCAUGUACCCCACAGGAGAGAGAACCUCAGCGUCUGAUGCUGUGCUGUCCAAAGACUUCAAGAUAUUUAAGAGCUUUAUUCCUGAAAGUACUGUGCAUCUGAAACUCCCUUCAGAAGUUCCUAGGCUACAUCCACAGAGACGAGCUGUAGCUAACAGCGAGAAAGAAAUGUGCAUCUGCACUGCCUUCCUAAUACUGGUUUUAAAGCUCAUUUACAAGAGGAGGUAUUUUGUCCAGUGUUAUGCACAGCCCGUCUGA